UGAGGCACGGCUCUGACUUUCCUCCACCGGAACCUCUCUUUCGUACUUACCACCGUGAUGGUACCCGUAACCACCGUGAUGCCCCACGUGGUGACCUCCCAUUGCAGCCGCCGCGACUGUUGCUGCAGUGCUUCUCCCGCUAUCAGUCCUCCAACUCCUCCUCCAAGGCCUAUUCACAUGAUCGGCAAAUGUCUCAUGCAAAGCAUUCAGUUAGAGGCUAAUUAGUAGCAUGUGAACCGAACUGAACCAAAUUUAGCCAAAAUUAAACCAAAAUCGUUUCUAAAACCGGUGGGUUCCAUAUGUAUCUCUAAACCAAUCAAAACCAAACCCAUAUGUACUCUAAAAUUCUACUUGAGUAUGAAGACACAAAAAUGUAUCAAAUUUAGCUUUAAAUAAUAUAUACUUCUCAUUUCAUUCAUUGAAAAAUUCUAAUGUUGUUUCCUUGGGUUUAAUUUGAAGAAAUCAUUUAAAUUUUAAUCACACUGAAAAUUUCUCAAAGAAUGAAAAUUAACCUAAAAAUCAAGCAAGACUAUUGGAGGAAUUAAAAAAAAAUCACCCUAUGCAGUUUAGCUCAAAAGUUUUAAUAUGCCUGCUCAAA
rnacentral:lncRNA from 1 species